GAAAAAGCGUUGAAGAGGAUAAGUAGUCAGCGGGGACAACAUCCACAGAGAGCCGGGGGAGCUGGAAACCGGUGAUGUUGCCGCUUGAUGAACUCACCUCUGAGUGCCAGCCUGAACGUCAUGCGACUAGUAGGGUUGGACGGGUGGGGCAGCAUUUGCUUCACUCGUUAUUAAAAAGAGCAAUUGGAUGCUUUCCAAUUGCUCCUGAGGUGGUCGGUAUGACCACGAAGAAGGGUGGUACCGCGGAAAGGAAACCUUUUCGCCCCUUUG
rnacentral:ncRNA from 1 species